rnacentral:lncRNA from 1 species
UGUGGUAGAAGCCCUUUUGGCUGCUUGCAUCAGUGGUUACAAGGAAGAAAUCAGGGAUACAUUUGCAAUAAAGAGAAAUAAUCUGCUGGGCACGGUGGCUUACAUCUGUAAUCCCAGUACUUUGGGAAGCCGAGGCAGGCAGGUCACCUGAGGUCAGGAGUUCGAGACCAGCCUGACCAACAUGGAGAAACCUCAUCUCUACUAAAAAAAGACAAAAUUAGCUGGGCGUGAGCCACUGUGCCUGGCCUUUAAAAGCUUUUCAGUUGAAAGGUAAUCUUGGAACACAGGUGGGUUCCAGUUGCUUGGAGCAUGAGGAACACCUGAUUGAAUGUCCUAACGUCAGACGUGUGUCUGCAAGUGGAAAGUGAAGCCUGCUGCAGGAAGAGGGAGGUGGUUGGUGCUUCCUAGAAGGGGUGGGCCUUUAAUGACUGCACCUGCACAGUGCUAUCAGGUCCUUAUUGUGGGACCGAAUCACUGACAUCCUAAUGAAAAAAUUAGCUAGGCCAUUUGCAGGUACAAGAGCACAGGUGGUCCUUGUGCUCUUUUUUGAUUCGUUUGAAGGUAGGUGUGAUUUGCCUUCAGGACUUCAUCAGCAACAAUAGGAUUUGAAUAAGUGGAUAGGCUGCUGUAUGUGGUUGUGUACAAUUUUUAAAGGGCUCUUGUACACAGGGUGGGGUGUGGGCAGGGAGAACAAAGCAUGGUCCCCAGUGAUGUUUAGUAAAAAUAUGUCUAGAAAGUUAAUAAAACUCUGGUCUGUGCUUAAGGCAAUAACAACAUGAGUCUCUGGCAUGAAUCUGUGUCCUGUUUAGAGGACAGGUUGUUUGUAAUCAACCCUUAUUCUGUCAUCUAGAGUUCCGUGUUUUAAGCAAUGAAGACAGAA